rnacentral:misc_RNA from 1 species
CAAUGAAGAGCAGUCCAUCCAUUAAUGUCACGGAAAUCUAUGCUGACUCUAUGACUGAGAAUUGCGCUCAAGGCCCACUCAUAGCCCAACCCAGCAACCAUGUGUAUGAUCCCCUGCUCUUUCUUGGACAAGUUGCAGUUAGGUUGAUCUUGUCUUUCCUGAGACUUGGAAGAAAGCCACUGCUGCAAUUUGUCUUUUAGAAGUUGUUGAAGAAGCCAAUCAACAGUGCCAGUUGAAGUUCCAUUACCAACUAAGAGAGCCCCAAUAAUACUUCCCCAUGAAUCAUCAUCAGUUUUUAAUUUUCUCAGCAGCUGAAUUCCAGUUUCUAUGCUGUCUUCUUUCUGCAAAGAGGAAUCAGACAGAAGCAUCUGCACAAAUCUGACAAGUAACAACAACUCUUCUGGACUCUCAGCAACUUCCAUUUGGGAUGAGUUGCAAUGAGGAAAACUACUCUUAGCUCGAUACUCAAAUUCUCUGAUCUCAC